rnacentral:rRNA from 1 species
UGGAGGGCGGCAUGCUAUAAUGCAGUCGAGCGGACUGAUUAAGAGCUUGCUCUUAUGACGUUAGCGGCGGACGGGUGAGUAACACGUGGGCAACCUGCCCUGUAGAUCGGGAUAACAUCGAGAAAUCGGUGCUAAUACCGGGUAAUAUAUGAGAUCUCCUGGUCUUAGGUUGAAAGAUGGGUUCCGGUAACACUUACAGAUGGGCCCGCGGCGCAUUAACUAGUUGGGUAGGUAAUGGCUUACCAAGGCCACCAUGCCUAACCGAACUGAGAGGGUGAUCGGCCACACUGGGACUGAAACACGGCCCAGACUCCUACGGGAGGCAGCAGUAAGGAAUCUUCCGCAAUGGACGAAAGUCUGAAGGAACAACGCCGCGUGAGUGAUGAAGGGCUUCCGGUCGUAAAGCUCUGUUGGUAGGGAAGAACCAGUACCGGUCGAACUAGGCGGGUCCUUGGACGGUCCUUACCCAAAAGCCCACGGUAACUUACGUGCCACCACCCGCGUAAAUACUUAGGUGGCACGCUUUGCCGGAAUUUUUGGGGCGUAAAGCGCGCGCAGGCGGUCUUUAAUCUCUGAUGUGAAACCCCCGGGCUCACCCGGGAAGGGUCUUGGAAACCUGGUACAUUCAAGUACAAAAAAGGAGAGUGACUUUCCACGUGUAGCGGUGAAAUGCGUAGAUCUGUGGAAGACAUAUCAGUGGCAAGGGCAACUCUCUGGUCUGUAACUGACGCUGAGGCGCGAAAGCGUGGGGAGCAAACAGGAUUAGAUACCCUGGUAGUCCACGCCGUGAACGAUGAGUGCUAGGUGUUAGGGGUUUUGAUGCCCUUAGUGCCGAAGUUAACACAUUAAGCACUCCGCCUGGGGAGUACGACCGCGAGGUUGAAACUCAAAGGAAUUGACGGGGGCCCGCACAAGCAGUGGAGCAUGUGGUUUAAUAUGAAGCAACGCGAAGAACCUUACCAGGUCUUGACAUCCUUUGACCCCUCUAGAGAUAGAGCGUUUCCCUUCGGGGGACAAAGUGACAGGUGGUGCAUGGUUGUCGUCAGCUCGUGUCGUGAGAUGUUGGGUUAAGUCCCGCAACGAGCGCAACCCUUGAUCUUAGUUGCCAGCAUUUAGUUGGGCACUCUAAGGUGACUGCCGGUGACAAACCGGAGGAAGGUGGGGAUGACGUCAAAUCAUCAUGCCCCUUAUGACCUGGGCUACACACGUGUUACAAUGGAUGGUACAAAGAGCAGCGAAACCGCGAGGUCGAGCCAAUCUCAUAAAGCCAUUUUCAGUUCGGAUUGUAGGCUGCAACUCGCCUACACGAAGCCGGAAUUGCUAGUAAUCGCGGAUCAGCAUGCCGCGGUGAAUACGUUCCCGGGCCUUGUACACACCGCCCGUCACACCACGAGAGUUUGUAACACCCGAAGUGGGUGGAGUAACCCUUCUCGAGCUAGCCGCCUAACGCCAUCAAAUUC